AGCGGUGAAAGAUGGUCUCGCGUCCCAUUAGUUAGUUGGUGAGGUAACGGCUCACCAAGACCGCGAUGGGUAGCCGGCCUGAGAGGGUGAACGGCCACACUGGAACUGAGACACGGUCCAGACUCCUACGGGAGGCAGCAGUGGGGAAUAUUGCACAAUGGAGGAAACUCUGAUGCAGCGACGCCGCGUGAGUGAAGAAGGCCUUCGGGUCGUAAAACUUUGUCCUAGGGGACGAUAAUGACGGUACCCUAGGAGGAAGCCCCGGCUAACUACGUGCCAGCAGCCGCGGUAAUACGUAGGGGGCAAGCGUUGUCCGGAUUUAUUGGGCGUAAAGGGUGCGCAGGCGGCCUUUUAAGUCAGAUGUGAAAGCCCACGGCUCAACCGUGGUAAGCAUUUGAAACUGGAAGGCUUGAGUUAAGGAGAGGAAAGUGGAAUUCCUAGUGUAGCGGUGAAAUGCGUAGAUAUUAGGAGGAAUACCAGUGGCGAAGGCGACUUUCUGGACUUAUACUGACGCUGAGGCACGAAAGCGUGGGGAGCAAACAGGAUUAGAUACCCUGGUAGUCCACGCCGUAAACGAUGAGCGCUAGGUGUCGGGGGUCAAACCUCGGUGCCGCAGCUAACGCAUUAAGCG
rnacentral:rRNA from 1 species